rnacentral:rRNA from 1 species
UACGGAGGGAGCUAGCGUUGUUCGGAAUUACUGGGCGUAAAGCGCGCGUAGGCGGCUUUGUAAGUUAGAGGUGAAAGCCCGGAGCUCAACUCCGGAACUGCCUUUAAAACUGCAUCGCUUGAAUCCAGGAGAGGUGAGUGGAAUUCCGAGUGUAGAGGUGAAAUUUCGUAGAUAUUCGGAAGAACACCAGUGGCGAAGGGCGGCUCACUGG